rnacentral:rRNA from 1 species
UACGUAGGGUGCAAGCGUUGUCCGGAAUUAUUGGGCGUAAAGAGCUCGUAGGCGGUUCAGUAAGUCGGGUGUGAAAGCUCCGAGCUCAACUCGGAGAGGCCACCCGAUACUGCUGUGACUUGAGUCCAGUAGAGGAGCGUGGAAUUCCUGGUGUAGCGGUGAAAUGCGCAGAUAUCAGGAGAAACACCAGCAGCGAAGGCGGCGCUCUGGGCUGGAACUGACGCUGAGGAGCGAAAGCGUGGGUAGCAAACAGG